GAUUCCCCUAGUAACUGCGAGUGAAGCGGGAAAAGCUCAAAUUUAAAAUCUGGUGGUCUUUGGCCAUCCGAGUUGUAAUCUAGAGAAGUGUUACCCGCGUCGGACCGUGUACAAGUCUCCUGGAAUGGAGCGUCAUAGAGGGUGAGAAUCCCGUCUUUGACACGGACUACCGAGGCUUUGUGGUGCGCUCUCAAAGAGUCGAGUUGUUUGGGAAUGCAGCUCAAAAUGGGUGGUAAAUUCCAUCUAAAGCUAAAUAUUGGCGAGAGACCGAUAGCGAACAAGUACCGUGAGGGAAAGAUGAAAAGAACUUUGGAAAGAGAGUUAAACAGUACGUGAAAUUGCUGAAAGGGAAACGCUUGAAGUCAGUCGCGUUGGCCGGAAAUCAGCCUUCCUUUUGGUUGGUGUAUUUUCUGGUUGACGGGCCAGCAUCAGUUUUGACCGGUGGAUAAAGUUGUAGGGAAUGUGGCAUCUUCGGGUGUGUUAUAGCCCUGCUUCGUAUACAUCGGUUGGGNCUGAGGAACUCAGCACGCCGUAAGGCCAGGUUUCGACCAUGUUCGUGCUUAGGAUGCUGGCAUAAUGGCUUUAAUCGACCCGUCUUGAAACACGGACCAAGGAGUCUAACAUGCCUGCGAGUGUUUGGGUGGAAAACCCGAGCGCGUAAUGAAAGUGAAAGUCGAGAUCCUUGUCAUGGGGAGCAUCGACGCCCGGACCAGAAGUUUUCUGACGGCCUGCGGUAGANCAUGUAUGUUGGGACCCGAAAGAUGGUGNNCUAUGCCUGAAUAGGGUGAAGCCAGAGGAAACUCUGGUGGAGGCNCGUAGC
rnacentral:rRNA from 1 species